GCCAUUGUAGCUCAGUUGGUAGAGCAUUGGAUCAGUAAUCAAAGGGUAGCAUGUUUGACACGCACCAAGGUAGCCUGGUA